rnacentral:rRNA from 1 species
UGCCAGACUCCUACGGGAGGCAGCAGUGGGGAAUAUUGCACAAUGGGGGAAACCCUGAUGCAGCAACGCCGCGUGAGUGAAGAAGUCUUUCGGUAUGUAAAGCUCUAUCAGCAGGGAAGAAGAUGACGGUACCUGACCAAGAAGCCCCGGCUAACUACGUGCCAGCAGCCGCGGUAAUACGUAGGGGGCAAGCGUUAUCCGGAUUUACUGGGUGUAAAGGGAGCGCAGACGGCAGUGCAAGUCUGGAGUGAAAGCCCGGGGCCCAACCCCGGAACUGCUCUGGAAACUGUGCGGCUAGAGUACUGGAGGGGCAGGCGGAAUUCCUAGUGUAGCGGUGAAAUGCGUAGAUAUUAGGAGGAACACCAGUGGCGAAGGCGGCCUGCUGGACAGUAACUGACGUUGAGGCUCGAAAGCGUGGGGAGCAAACAGGAUUAGAUACCCCUGUACAG